AUGAGAACAAGGUGGUCGAUUCGACGUCGAAUCAAUGUCUAACGGUCUAGGUUACGGCGAAUCGAAAGUGAGGUAGAAGAAAAGUGUUUUUCGACGUCCCGGGAAACGCAAUAAAAUCAAUUAAAAUCACUUACACUGGCAUCCUUUAGCUCGUAACUAACGGUAAUUAUUUUCAAAUUAUUCCAAAAAUGGAAUUUUUUAAUAUUUUGUGCUUAACGUCGAUUCGACGUCUAUUCGACGUUAGCUGCUCAGCUGUUUAAAUUCGCGCGCGCAAGGUGCAGCACGACCGCUGUGCGUGCGAAAAUCUAAAGAUCCUAUAUACAACUUUAUUAAUAUAUCAAACACCUUGCAGUACUCUCGAGGCCCUUAAUAAAAUAAUUUAAUGUAAAGACGAGUUCGUUUGAGUGACGGUGCCCGUAUUUUCGCGUAAGGAUGUGUUGGAUCCUCUUUACGGCCGUUGUUGGAGUUGGCACCAUUGGCUGUUGUGUAUGAUAAGCGAUCGUAAUCAAAUACUACCAGAAAGAGGCCGAACAAAUUUGCUGGUGCUGCGCUGGAUGAAUCGUUUCAGGAGAAUUUGAAAACAAGAACCCCUUUUUUAAGAGCUGUUAACGUUUUGGUGAAUCUUAUGUUUUGCAUCACGAAGAUGGUGGAGAUUCGGCCGUAAGUUACCAGAAGGCAGUCAAAAAUUAUAUUUCGGUAACAGUUGGCCGGGUUUAACUUCAAGUGAAAGAACUAAAAGUUGGGCUCAUCUUGCAUUAUCGAGGAAAACAUUUGCUGAGGACUUCGUACGACGCUCCCAGGCAAGAAUGGAAGUGCACCCAGCGUUAAGUGGCCAAUGUGUUCAUUACAGGUUUUUUUAAGGUACUGUUUACGUGACAUUUUGCAUCGUGACGUGAUAAUUUCUGUCUGGAAAGUCAGCCUUAUUGGCAUAUAAAUUCUCUUGUUCUAUGUAAGUAAAAUUGAACUGUUCUUUACUUUAAAUAGUUAAACAACUUAAAAGCGUUGUUAUCUGUGCCAACAAGGAGACUGCAGUUUGUUGUGUCGUAAUAAACCUUUUGGCUUCCUAAGUUUUUGGUGCAGAAUGCUAAUAUGUGAAAGCUCAUUGAUCUUGAAAUAAAAAUAUAAUUUAUGUCUUGAA